rnacentral:lncRNA from 1 species
UCCAAAAAAAGUCGCAAAACCACGGGGGUCUCCCUUUCCGUCCUUGUAACGAAGUUUGCUAAAGGACAGUAUGACAUUUGCUGCCAUACAGUCCCCGCCAUAAACAUUCCCCUCAGUUUCUUCAACUUUCUUCAAUGCAGACCUACAUGCUGUCGCAAUCGAAUCCAGGGGGUGCAAGUGGCAGUUCAUCUCGUUCAGCGUUUUCCCCCACUCGCUACUUACGAGACGGACGGCCGCGUGAUUGGUCGCACAUCGGUCAGUCAUCGUAUUCGAUAUCUUCUCAAUCAAUUUUGCCCUAGUUUCCUCGAAGUUUGUCCCUUUAGUAAAGAAAACAUAAGUGUGGGCCAAGUCAUCUACAGUUUGGCAGAUAUGAUUGCAGUAGUCUUCUGCUGUUCCUCCUGCCAACUCAUCCACUGCAGCUGACAUACUGUCAUGUUCGGUACUAAAAUGGAUUUCGUUGACAUGGGUACCUUCCUGGGUAGUUGCAUCAAAUCCCAAAGUCACAUUAUUAUUAGCCAAUAUCAUUUCAGCCGUCUGCAGUUGAGAAAUCACUCCUAAUUCCUGGGCCAUCAACUCAACAGUGCUCCUUUGGGGUACAGUUUUGAGCUCAAUUCCAUCAUGCUUCGCUAUACUCUGUAAGACUACUGGUAUAUUUGCCGUCGACACUUUACUACUUAUACAGUCAUAUACUUUCAUUCUCAUGGCUGAUGAGUACGUCUUUCUAUUAACUUUUGGCCCCUUAGGAUGUUCUGUGGUUGAAGUCAGGUCUUCAACUCUUUCCUGAAGAAGCAGGAGUUCAUGUUGAAGUUCUGAUAUCACAUUGUCCUUCUCCUUGAUCUUUAUUACGACUUCAUUAUAUUCUGCCACAGAAACAGUCUUGCUGCUUUUUCUUCUUUUAAGAAGUUUCCUGUGCGUAUUCUUCAGUGUUUUGUUGCGAUUUCUCUCUUUCUGUAAUUCACGGAAGAGGACAUUCCUAUACAACAUAUGCCUUAGCUUUUUAAUCUCUUUAUUUCUUGUCUCAACUCUAUUCUUUUGCCUCUGAAUGGCUUGGUUUAUGCACCUUCUUGGGGUCUGAAGCUGUCUCCUCAAUUCUCUCACUUUUUCUUGGUAUCUCUUCUUCACUCUUCUGUGGGUUGAUGACAUAAAAUCCAAUCGUUGUUUCAUCUUGGCUUCUUGAGGAGUGAGCGGGUCACGUCGACGACUCCUUGAACCGGCAGAGGACCCUGGCUCAGAAUGAACUUGAAGGUGACUGUCUGGAGUUCUGGUCAUUGUGUCGGAAUCUGUUUGUUCAACAGUUAAUUUCUCAUCAAAAAUUCCAGGUGAAACAACAGGAACUUGAGGAACUGGCAACUGUGCAACAGGAACUGUGAACUCAGGAUCAACUGCCUCAGUGAGGUCAAACGGUUCAUCACAUAUUGCUGAAAACUUUUCAAAUUGUUUUGGGUCAGUGAGUGUUCUAAACUUAUUCCAUGUUGCUCUCACAACCACUCUUAUAUCAUUACUCAGGGACUUACUGAAAGAAAAGCCCUCAGAUGAAAAAUGUGUUUUUAAUUGUCUCGCUGUCUCAGCUCUACUACUUCCCGCUGCACAGACGUACAGAUGUAAUACAUGUCCUUUUUUCAACUCAGUGCUGGUAGCAGGAAGUGUUGAAAAAUUCUCGUUCAGGUGCCGUCUUCCCACACCCGGUUGGGCAUGUGCAUUGACAAUGAGGUUGCGUCUUUUUUUUGGAGGCAUAUCCUAAGAAGAUAAAUGGUGAACUGAAUUAGGUGAAUUUCUAGACAGGUCAAAAAUCUAUGAUCCAGAUGACCUCAGAGAAAAUAAUUAAGAUAUUGGGUACAGGGUUGUUAUAAAACCCAAAUUAAUUGCAAUUCACCAGAUUUCUAGCACAAUGGAUAAACCAAGGAACAACAAUCAAACAUUUGUAUUCCCCACCAUGAUAGUACACUGACUUGUUAGAAGGAAUGCAUUUCAGCCUGGGUCCAGGCAAAACCCCCCUAAAACCCCCUCUUUUUUUGAAAGACAAAGAAGUGGGACAAAGCCCACUCGUUUUGUGGGACAAAGCCUUCUGAAUUAAAUUAGAAAAUGCCAAAACCCCCAAUUUUUUUCCUCCUGUUUCUGCACAAGUCUUAAUGCCAUAAUUUAAUUGGAUAAAAUAAUAUUAUACAAAUUGCAAUAAAAUUAAUUAUGCAUUUCCCA